CAGCCGCCGCGGGAAAACAGAGGGUGCGAGCGUUAAUCGGAUUUACUGGGCGUAAAGCGUGCGUAGGCGGCUUUUUAAGUCGGAUGUGAAAUCCCUGAGCUUAACUUAGGAAUUGCAUUCGAUACUGGGAAGCUAGAGUAUGGGAGAGGAUGGUAGAAUUCCAGGUGUAGCGGUGAAAUGCGUAGAGAUCUGGAGGAAUACCGAUGGCGAAGGCAGCCAUCUGGCCUAAUACUGACGCUGAGGUACGAAAGCAUGGGGAGCAAACAGGAUUAGAGACCCCGGUAGUCCCUGUCUCUUAUAC
rnacentral:rRNA from 1 species